AGCCUUCACCAUGGAGCAGCUGAGUUCAGCCAACAGCCUGUUCGCCUUGGAGCUGUUCCACACCCUGAGUGAAAGCAGCCCCACAGGAAACAUCUUCUUCUCUCCCUUCAGCAUUUCUUCUGCCUUGGCCAUGGUCUUUCUGGGGACCAAAGGCACCACUGCAGCCCAGCUCUCUAAGACUUUUCAUUUCGACUCUGUUGAGGACGUUCAUUCACGCUUUCAAAGCCUGAAUGCUGAAGUGAGCAAGCGUGGAGCAUCUCACACUCUGAAACUUGCCAACAGGCUGUAUGGAGAGAAAACCUACAAUUUCCUUCCUGAGUUCUUGACUUCAACUCAGAAGAUGUAUGGUGCUGACUUGGCCCCUGUGGAUUUUCAGCAUGCCUCUGAGGAUGCAAGGAAGGAGAUAAACCAGUGGGUCAAAGGUCAAACCGAAGGUGAGAGGUUGAGCAGUGCUGGCUCUGUUCGUCAGUUUCCCUUCUAUGGCUCACCUGACACAAUCAGCUUAUGAAUUAAAGGCUGAUUUUGCUCACAGUGU
rnacentral:lncRNA from 1 species